rnacentral:tRNA from 1 species
AGGAACUUAGGAUAAACAAAACCCGGGGCCUUCAAAGCCCCAAAUAAGAGACAAACCUCUUAGCUCCUG